rnacentral:rRNA from 1 species
CCGGUGGAUGGGUAGGGGAGCGUCGUGCAGCGUGUGAAGCAGCAGAGUGAUCUAGUUGUGGAUGCUGCACGAGUGAGAAUGCAGGCAUGAGUAGCGAAUGACGGGUGAGAAACCCGUCCGCCGAAUGAUCAAGGGUUCCAGGGUCAAGCUAAUCUGCCCUGGGUAAGUCGGGACCUAAGGCGAGGCCGACAGGCGUAGUCGAUGGACAACGGGUUGAUAUUCCCGUACCGGCAUUAACACGACCCGACCGAGGUCACUGAUGCUAAAACCGAGAAGCUAGGCGGCCUUCGGGCCAAGUAGUGGAUCUGUUGACCCGAGGUGGUAUUAGGUGCACUAAGGAGUGACGCAGGAGGGCAGUCCAUCCGCGGCGAUGGUAGGCGCAAGCUGAUCCGCGGGCAAGGUGGUAGGGCGAGGCAUAGGCAAAUCCGUGUCUCAUAUAGCCUGAGAACCGAGGCGGACCCGUUCAGGGGAAGUGGAUGAUCCCAUGCUGCCAAGAAAAACUUCGUAGUGAGUGUUAGAGCCGCCCGUACCCCAAACCGACACAGGUGAUCAGGUAGAGAAUACCAAGGCGAUCGAGUGAACCAUGGUUAAGGAACUCGGCAAAAUGCCCCCGUAACUUCGGGAGAAGGGGGGCCGGAUGCGUUACCUCACUUGCUGGGGGAAGCGUUGAUGGCCGCAGAGACCAGGCCCAAGCGACUGUUUACUAAAAACACAGGUCCGUGCGAAGAAGUAAUUCGAUGUAUACGGACUGACGCCUGCCCGGUGCUGGAACGUUAAGGGGACAGGUUAGCUGGUUUAGGCCGGCGAAGCUUUGAACUUAAGCGCCAGUAAACGGCGGUGGUAACUAUAACCAUCCUAAGGUAGCGAAAUUCCUUGUCGGGUAAGUUCCGACCUGCACGAAUGGCGUAACGACUUGGGCGCUGUCUCAACCAUGGACUCGGCGAAAUUGCAUUACGAGUAAAGAUGCUCGUUACGCGCAGCAGGACGGAAAGACCCCGGGACCUUUACUACAACUUGGUAUUGGUGGUCGGUACAACUUGUGUAGGAUAGGUGGGAGACUGUGAAAUCCGGACGCCAGUUCGGGUGGAGUCAUCGUUGAAAUACCACUCUGGUUGUUCUGGCUGUCUAACUUCGGUCCAUUAUCUGGAUCAGGGACAGUGCCUGGUGGGUAGUUUGACUGGGGCGGUCGCCUCCUAAAAGGUAACGGAGGCGCUCAAAGGUUCCCUCAGCCUGGUUGGCAAUCAGGUGUCGAGUGUAAGUGCACAAGGGAGCUUGACUGUGAGACAGACAUGUCGAGCAGGGACGAAAGUCGGAACUAGUGAUCCGGCGGUG